rnacentral:misc_RNA from 1 species
UCCUGGUUAACCCAGGCAGUCUCAUUAGAGUUCCCAUCCGAAAUGUUGGCAACUAAUGAUAAGGGUUGCGCUCGUUGCUGGACUUAACCAAACACCUCACGGCACGAGCUGACGACAGCCAUGCAGCACCUGUGCACCGGCCCCGAAGGGAAAUAACAUUUCUGCUAUCGUCCAGUGCAUGUCAAGUCUGGGUAAGGUUCUUCGCGUUGCAUCGAAUUAAACCACAUGCUCCACUGCUUGUGCGGGUCCCCGUCAAUUCUUUUGAGUUUCAGCCUUGCGACUGUACUCCCCAGGCGGUAUACUUAACGCGUUCGCUACGGCACAACCAGGGUUGAGUCCGGUUACACCAAGUAUACAUCGUUUACGGCAAGGACUAC